UUAUUGGUGCAGAAUAAUAAACAUGUUACUCUUCCUUUGGUAUAUCUUCUAAAGCUAGUAUUGAUAUUACCAGUUGCCACAACAUCCGUGAAAAGAUGCAUUUUGGCUAUGAAUGUUGUCAAGAAAAAGUUGCGCAACAAAAUUGGUGAUCAAUUCAUGAGUGAUUGUCUAAUUUGCUAUGUGGAGAACGAGAUGUUUUCUCCCAUUAGUAAUGAUGUUGUGUUUGAUCUUUUUAAGGCGAUGAAAAAUCAAAAAGGGACGCUCUGA
rnacentral:rRNA from 1 species